AUGGGUGACCAGUGACAGAGUGAGGGGGGGUGACUAGUGAGGGAGGGGGUGACUAGUGACAGAAUGAGGGAGGGGGUGACUAGUGACAGAGGGAGGGAGAUGGUGACUGUCACUAGUCACCCCAUCCCUCCCUCUGUCACUAGUCACUCCCUCCCUAACUCUGUCACUAGUCACUCCCUUCCUAACUCUGUCACUAGUCAUCCCCUCCCUCACUCUGUCACCAGUCACCCCCUCCCUCUGUCACUGUGUCACCCCAU